UACGAAGGGGGCUAGCGUUGCUCGGAAUCACUGGGCGUAAAGCGCACGUAGGCGGAUUGUUAAGUCAGGGGUGAAAUCCUGGAGCUCAACUCCAGAACUGCCUUUGAUACUGGCGAUCUCGAGUCCGGGAGAGGUGAGUGGAACUGCGAGUGUAGAGGUGAAAAUUCGUAGAUAUUCGCAAGAACACCAGUGGCGAAGGCGGCUCACUGGCCCGGUACUGACGCUGAGGUGCGGAAAGCGUGGGGAGCAAACAGGG
rnacentral:rRNA from 1 species